rnacentral:rRNA from 1 species
AUUGAACGCUGGCGGCAGGCCUAACACAUGCAAGUCGAGCGAGCGUCCGACGUGUCAGUAAUGUGUGGGGAUCUGCCCGAUAAAGGGGGAUAAAUACUGGAAACGGUGGCUACUACCGCAUACUAUCGGCUGAGCCCAUAUGGGAUUAGCUAGUAGGUGUGGUAAAGGCUCACCUAGGCGACGAUCUCUAGCUGGUCUGAGAGGAUGAUCAGCCACACUGGGACUGAGACACGGCCCAGACUCCUACGGGAGGCAGCAGUGGGGAAUAUUGCACAAUGGGCGCAAGCCUGAUGCAGCCAUGCCGCGUGGAUGAAGAAGGCCUUAGGGUUGUAAAGUACUUUCAGCGGGGAGGCGUUAACCGCAGAAGAAGUAACGGCUAACUACGUGCCAGCAGCCGCGGUAAUAC